AAUAUUGGACAAUGGGUGGAACCCUGAUCCAGCCAUGCCGCGUGUGUGAAGAAGGUCUUCGGAUUGUAAAGCACCUUCAUUUGGGAGGAAGAGUUGUAGGCUAAUACCUUGCAAUUUUGACUUUACCAACAGAAUAAGCACCGGCUAAUUUCGUGCCAGCAGCCGCGGUAAUACGAAGGGUGCAAGCGUUAAUCGGAAUUAUUGGGCGUAAGGCGGGCGUAGGUGGUUCGUUAAGUUGGAAGUGAAAGCCCCGGGCUUAACCUGGGAAUUGCUUUCAAAACUGACGAGCUAGAGUACGGUAGAGGGUAGUGGAAUUUCCUGUGUAGCGGUGAAAUGCGUAGAUAUAGGAAGGAACAUCAGUGGCGAAGGCGACUACCUGGACUGAUACUGACACUGAGGUGCGAAAGCGUGGGGAGCAAACA
rnacentral:rRNA from 1 species